CACUAAUCAAUUUUUCUUACCGUCUUUGUAUCAGUUGAAGUUCUUGAUGAUCUCAGCCACCUUCAACAUUUAUGGGAUACUAAAGUGGUGAAGUUCAUAAAUAGCGGAAUGAGUUAACACUUAACAGGUGCAGAUGCCUUAGAGAGAAGUUCCUUUUAUAAAUCGAUUCUCUGCUUGUUCUGCUCUUCACCCCAUGAUCCUUCGCUUAUCAGUUAUUUUGCAUAAUUUGACUAGCUCAUCAAAGUUUGUGACCCAAAGUUUCUGUGGUGGUACUUCAUAAUUUGUGUUUUUGUUCUGAUUGCUUGAUUAUACCAACUUUCAGGAUGUUAAAAUUGGAACUGCCUGUGUCGUGGGCAAACACUGGUUCAAAUCCUAAAUGGUUAUUAUUGUUGUUAUUAUUCAUGUGUGUAUGGACAUGACUAAGUCGUGAUUUCCCCAUUUCAAUUUAUCACCUCAAAUGUUUCCAAGUUAUUAGCAUUGUGAUUUAAAUUAAUUAUUGCACUUCCAUUGGUUACUGAUUUGAUUAAUGAAUGUGUGAUUUUUUUACUGUAAACAGAUACUCAAAUAACUAUGUCCUGCCAGUUAUUUGAGGGUACAGCUGUAUGUAUGCUGUUCCAUUGUUCUUUAGAAGGAUUAAAGGUGAGCCUGGUCUUUGUGAGGGUACAACUGUAUGUACGCUGUUCCAUUGUUCUUUAGAAGGAUUGAAGGUGAGCCUGGUCUAUAGGCACGCAUAAAUCUGGGUUCAGGAGUCAAAUUCAGUCCAUGAUUCUUCUGCAGAGUAGGCAUGUGUGGAGAAUCUAAAGAUCCAGGGAGGUGACAUUAUCCAUCAUAUGUGUCAGUAUAACAAUUUAGUUUUCCUUAUUUAUGUCAUGUGAUAUUCUUAACAUUACCAUGUACUGUUCCUAUUUCCUUGAUGCAUCUGCGUUGUUUUAUGUAUUAACUGAUGUUGUGUUGUUCACGCAAUUCCUCUUCCAUUGUUGCUUUUCAACAAGCAAUUAAAGACUCUGUGAAUUAUAGUUCAAGACUUCUUGAAACAGUUCUUGUUUCUUGUUUCUUGUUUCUGGUUGAUGUUUGUUUCUUUUCUUUUUUUUCCCAUGUUUUCCUUAUUUAUGUGAUUUUUUAUUGGGUAUUUUGGAAUACAGGGAUUUGGUUAGUUUUACACAAUGCUAUACAAGCAAUAUUGAUGUAUUGCAUAGUGGAUUUUUGUUUCUCUUAAUCAUUUAAAUUCUUCUACUCUUUUUGAUUGUGUUCAUUUGGUUUGCUUAUUGGAUGCUUGACUGUAUGUGGAGGUGGUAAGCAUGAGAUAUGAUUCGUGGAGUACAACUGGGAGAACCUGUUAGCAUUAUAUUGUGGUUGAGCCAUGGGGAAGUGCAGACUUUUGGUUUGUUUUUGAGAGUCUUGGCAAAAGGCAAGCUGCGAAUGAUUUUCAGGUUUGAGGUCCUCCUGUUUCAAAAGCAUUUGAUGAUCUUGAAAAUGCUACAAAGGUAUUUCUUCCCAUGCAAUUAUCCCUUUUUUUUUUUCACCUGAAACUUUCUUAGCUGAAGUAAAAUUUGAUCUCCCAAAUGCAGCAGUUUCUGUAAAAAAUAUGUUAGCUUCUACUGCAGAAGUUAUUCAAUUUUCUUGGUGAUAAUCUAAUUUUUGCCUUUUUCUCAGAGCUAUGUUCUAUCACCCAGCAUUCUGCAAUGAUGAAUAUGCAACCUAUCCUGUUAAAAAGUCUUGUAGGUAUAGUUGUAUGUCCUUACGUUCCAAAAAUGCCUCCUCGCCAACCACAAUCAUUGGACCAUUACUGAGGAACCAUACAAGAGAUGGAACCUGUUCUCUUUUGCCUCCAAUUUGUGCCACAGUUUCCAAUAUAAUAUCUAAUUGUUAGACGUUAAUUGUGGUUUGAUUAGUAUAUUUAUUAAGUUUUGGAUUCGUUGAUUUUUUAAGGCAAUUUUUUGGCAGUGUAACUUGUGAGCUUUUCACUGGUUGAAAGUGCAGGAUCUUUUGUAGAUGUGACAAGGAAUGCUAAAAGUAGUAUUGAAAUUGAGGUAGUAUAAUGUUAUUUUAUAGUCUUUAAUUCAAUGUUUAACUUUCAGUAAUGGACUUCUUGACUGUAAAAAUUACAUGUGUUUGCAAGGUUGAAAGAAAACAAUUUUGGAGCUCCCAGAUGCUGUAGCAGAAAGUGUCAAUGGUCACAUUUACUUUUCAGCAGACCUUAAUUAAUGUUAUGGAAAAGCAUUUUUUUUAAUUGAAAGCUUUUUUUCUUUAAAGUAUUUUUGCAUCCAGGCUUGUGCUGUGACUUUGACGAAUACGUAUAUAAUAUUUCUCUGCUUUGGCUCAACAUUGCAUGCAUAGUAUAGUGUUGUAGUUUUUAUUUCACAAAAUUGUAAACAGAUGAUUAUAUCA